rnacentral:tRNA from 1 species
GCAUCUGUGGCCGAGUGGUUGAAGGCAUCGGACUCAUAAUCCGUCUUCUAAUACAGAACAUCGCUGGUUCGAACCCAGCCGGAUGCA